GACAUAGGGUGCAAGCGUUGUCCGGAUUUAUUGGGCGUAAAGAGCUCGUAGGCGGCUUGUUGCGUCGACUGUGAAAACCCGCGGCUUAACCGCGGGCUUGCAGUUGAUACAGCACGUCUCGAGUCCGGAAGAGGUGGGUGGAAUUCCUAGUGUAGAGGUGAAAUUCGUAGAUAUUAGGAAGAACACCGGUGGCGAAGGCGGCCCACUGGUCCGGUACUGACGCUGAGGUGCGAAAGCGUGGGGAGCAAACAGG
rnacentral:rRNA from 1 species